GGUGUAUAAAUACACCCAUCCCAGCUGAAACUUGUGACAUUCAUGCACAUCAUCUCGCUUACAAACAGCACUAGGCUAACACACACAUAGCUAAGCUGACAGUAGAUACCAACACACACUCCAUAUGAUAACAGAACACGCUUUCAAGCAAAAUUGACCUAAAAUGACAACAUCUGAAUGAUUUCGUGGAUGGAGCUUCAAAACAACGCUGUCGAAGUUGAUGGAGGUUCUGAGAAGUCAGGGACUGUGUGAUAUGUUUGAUAUUCGGUUGCUUUCCUUAUAUCAUGUCAACUAAAUAUCAGACAUAUUCCUACAGACUCUGGCACAAAUCUUCACCUUCGUGGCCUCUCUUCAUUCAUCAUCUCGGGUUCAUCAAAUGUUUCGUUUUGAUCACUUUCUUGAUUGUUUCUUGCGCAUGAUUUCUAGCGUAUGAGCUAUAAAAUCUUAUAUAAUGCAAUAAGACUCAUUUAGUGAAGACUACACUUUUUCAUUUCUUAAAUAUUUGUUUUUAGUACAUCUUAUAAAGUUAUAACUGCAUGUCAACUGUAUUCCUGAGCAAUUAAGCCAAAAUGUAAAAAUAAAGGAUCCAAAUGAGGGGUUUCAGCGAUGCUAUAAAAAUUACCAUUUUGGGUUUCCCGUACAAAUUUUCUUUUCUUUUUUUUUUU